GAUGAACGCUGGCGGUGUGCCUAAUACAUGCAAGUCGAGCGAACAGACGAGGAGUUUGCUCCGCUGAGGUUAGCGGCGGUCGGGUGCGUACCAUGUGGAUAACACACCUACAGGACUGGGAUAACUUUGGCAAACGUGCGCUAAGACCGGAGAAUAUAUUGCACCGCAUGGUCCCACGGUGAAUGAGCGUGUUGGUGUGACUUAUAGAUGCAUCCGCGCCGCAUUAUCUAGUGUGUAAGGUAACGGCUUACCAAGGCAGCGAUGCGUAGCCGACCUGGGAGGGUGAUCGGCCAGGCUGGAGAGGAGACACGGCCAAGACGCCUACGAGAGACAGCAGAAGGGAAUCCUCGGCGAUGGAGGGAAGCCUGACGCAGCAACGCCGCGAGAGUGACGAAGGUCUUCCGAUCGUAAAACUCUGUUAUUAGGGAAGAACAACUGUGUAAGUAACGAUGCACGUCUUGACGGUACCUAAUCAGAAAGCCACGGCUAACUACGUG
rnacentral:rRNA from 1 species